rnacentral:rRNA from 1 species
UCGAGCGGACAGAUGGGAGCUUGCUCCCUGAUGUUAGCGGCGGACGGGUGAGUAACACGUGGGUAACCUGCCUGUAAGACUGGGAUAACUCCGGGAAACCGGGGCUAAUACCGGAUGGUUGUUUGAACCGCAUGGUUCAGACAUAAAAGGUGGCUUCGGCUACCACUUACAGAUGGACCCGCGGCGCAUUAGCUAGUUGGUGAGGUAACGGCUCACCAAGGCAACGAUGCGUAGCCGACCUGAGAGGGUGAUCGGCCACACUGGGACUGAGACACGGCCCAGACUCCUACGGGAGGCAGCAGUAGGGAAUCUUCCGCAAUGGACGAAAGUCUGACGGAGCAACGCCGCGUGAGUGAUGAAGGUUUUCGGAUCGUAAAGCUCUGUUGUUAGGGAAGAACAAGUGCCGUUCAAAUAGGGCGGCACCUUGACGGUACCUAACCAGAAAGCCACGGCUAACUACGUGCCAGCAGCCGCGGUAAUACGUAGGUGGCAAGCGUUGUCCGGAAUUAUUGGGCGUAAAGGGCUCGCAGGCGGUUUCUUAAGUCUGAUGUGAAAGCCCCCGGCUCAACCGGGGAGGGUCAUUGGAAACUGGGGAACUUGAGUGCAGAAGAGGAGAGUGGAAUUCCACGUGUAGCGGUGAAAUGCGUAGAGAUGUGGAGGAACACCAGUGGCGAAGGCGACUCUCUGGUCUGUAACUGACGCUGAGGAGCGAAAGCGUGGGGAGCGAACAGGAUUAGAUACCCUGGUAGUCCACGCCGUAAACGAUGAGUGCUAAGUGUUAGGGGGUUUCCGCCCCUUAGUGCUGCAGCUAACGCAUUAAGCACUCCGCCUGGGGAGUACGGUCGCAAGACUGAAACUCAAGGAAUUGACGGGGGCCCGCACAA